rnacentral:rRNA from 1 species
UACAGAGGUCCCAAGCGUUGUUCGGAAUUACUGGGCGUAAAGGGCUCGUAGGCGGCCAACUAAGUCGGAUGUGAAAUCCCCAGGCUUAACCUGGGAAUUGCAUCCGAUACUGGAUGGCUUGAAUCCGGGAGAGGGAUGCGGAAUUCCAGGUGUAGCGGUGAAAUGCGUAGAUAUCUGGAGGAACACCGGUGGCGAAGGCGGCAUCCUGGACCGGCAUUGACGCUGAGGAGCGAAAGCCAGGGGAGCAAACGGG